GGAAAAUAUGAGAUGUUCUUUUUGCCUUUUGAACUUGACUGAAGGAAGCAGCUCCAUUUAAAAACACCGGCUCUGUAGAUGUUUCGUAGAUGAAACGCUUUCUUGUUCUUGUUCCUUGUCCUAAUUAUUGAACCCAGUCUUGUCUCGUUUCCCUUUGUCUGUAUCUCUGACAUUCAGCGAAAGUCCAACAACCUAUCCACAGCCAAAGAAAAGGUGAGGGCCAGCUCAUUAAAUUCCACCUAGACUCUCCUUUUAAGAAUGGGCGGAUUCUCUUAGACCUUAGAUUUCUACCAAAGCAGCAGCCAGAAGACCCCCGGAGGCCUGGACGGGUUUGGCCACUCGUGUGUUCCUUAGAGAGACAUCUGUAGUGUCAAGGAAAGAGUGAUAUACACGCAGUUAGAGGCCCUGAGUGUGAAUACCAGCUCUGUCACAUUCCAAUGUGGGCAAGUCACAAAACAUAGCAUUCCAGAUUCUCAUCUAUGAGGCGCAGAUGACAAGAAGUACAUCACAGAAUUCCCAAGAGGAUAAAAUAAGAUAAUGCGGGUAAAAUUGCUGAAGAACUGGAAUUAUUAUUUGCAGCUCUUAACUGGGAUGUGAAAAUGCAUACUGUCUUGUCUCAAAAUUCUGGAGAUGAAACUCAAGUUCACCACCACAACUAAAGCACCAGGAGGCCUUCCAUCACUUCCUCCAGCUGUAUUACACCAGCGAGUGUGUCUGCCCACUUCUCUAGCCCCACCACUCGGAAGCAGAGGCUCCUAAAGCUCAGAAAUCGGAUGAGGGAGCCUUGAGGAGGUCCUGAGUCCAGGUCUCCCCAACGAUGGCACGACUUUUUGGACAUUACGUACAACGGCUACGGCUCUGUUUUUUCAUUCAAUAAACCAAGACAAGACACUA